UACAGAGGGUGCGAGCGUUGUUCGGAAUUACUGGGCGUAAAGGGCGCGUAGGCGGCCUCCUAAGUCGAACGUGAAAUCCCCGGGCUCAACCCGGGAACUGCGUUCGAUACUGGUUGGCUUGAAUUCGGGAGAGAGAUGCGGAAUUCCAGGUGUAGCGGUGAAAUGCGUAGAUAUCUGGAGGAACACCGGUGGCGAAGGCGGCAUCCUGGACCGAGAUUGACGCUGAGGAGCGAAAGCCAGGGGAGCAAACGGG
rnacentral:rRNA from 1 species